CUAGUAUAGAGAUUUAAUAAAGGUUGCCCCAGUGAUGCCAUGGGGUUGUCUUCCUGUCCAGGAUGUAGCCCAGCAACAUGGCCUCCACUUAAGCUUUGCACUCCUGUAGUGCCCAUUUGUGUCCAGGUCUCUCUCCACCUCUCCUGAAGAUUACUUUCUUUUCUCUUCGUUUGAAACCUUCCAACUCAACCUUACAGAUCCAAGAGCCCACUGUGCGGACUGAGCUGAUGGGGCAGAUCCCUCCUCCCAGUACAUCCUGCCUGGUGGAGCACGGUACCUUGAGGAUCCAGACAACCAGGCCAGAGGGUGCUGACGUUGAUCUCUGUGUCCUCCUGCCUUGGGAUGCUAGAUUAUGGACCUUCACCAUCAUAGUUGGCAAGAAAGUUGACUUUUCCAGAUGAUCCAUUUGGGUACAAAUACAAACAAGGUUGGCACAUUGGGUUUACGUAAGUUUCUUAGUCUCUGACGCUGGUAAGAACUGUGCUGCUCCUCCUCUCCUAGCUGUGGAUUGACUGAAAGCCCAGAAAGUUUGUCCCAUUG
rnacentral:lncRNA from 1 species